AUCCAGCUGACGAGUCUCAAAUGGGACGAAACGCGCAUCCUGAAU
rnacentral:hammerhead_ribozyme from 1 species